UAGCUCAGUCGUAAGAGCGCUCGGCUUUUAACCGUGUGGUCGUGGGUUCGAUCCCCACAU
rnacentral:tRNA from 1 species